rnacentral:rRNA from 1 species
GAUGAACGCUGGCGGCGUGCCUAAUACAUGCAAGUCGAGCGAACAGACGAGGAGCUUGCUCCUCUAACGUUAGCGGCGGGCGGGUGAGUAACACGUGGAUAACCUACCUAUAAGACUGGGAUAACUUCGGGAAACCGGAGCUAAUACCGGAUAAUAUAUUGAACCGCAUGGUUCAAUAGUGAAAGACGGUUUUGCUGUCACUUAUAGAUGGAUCCGCGCCGCAUUAGCUAGUUGGUAAGGUAACAGCUUACCAAGGCAACGAUGCGUAGCCGACCUGAGAGGGUGAUCGGCCACACUGGAACUGAGACACGGUCCAGACUCCUACGGGAGGCAGCAGUAGGGAAUCUUCCGCAAUGGGCGAAAGCCUGACGGAGCAACGCCGCGUGAGUGAUGAAGGUCUUCGGAUCGUAAAACUCUGUUAUUAGGGAAGAACAAAUGUGUAAGUAACUAUGCACGUCUUGACGGUACCUAAUCAGAAAGCCACGGCUAACUACGUG